AAGGAAUAUUGGUCAAUGGACGGAAGUCUGAACCAGCCAUCCCGCGUGCAGGAUGACGGCCCUAUGGGUUGUAAACUGCUUUUAGCAGAGACGAAACGCCAUCAUUUAUGAUGGUCUGACGGUAUCUGCAGAAUAAGCACCGGCUAACUCCGUGCCAGCAGCCGCGGUAAUACGGAGGGUGCAAGCGUUAUCCGGAAUCACUGGGUUUAAAGGGUGCGUAGGCGGAAAUUUAAGUCAGUGGUGAAAUCUUGUCGCUUAACGAUAAAAUUGCCAUUGAUACUGAAUUUCUUGAAUUGGGUUGAGGUUAGCGGAAUGUGACAUGUAGCGGUGAAAUGCAUAGAUAUGUCAUGGAACACCAAUUGCGAAGGCAGCUAGCUGGGCCUUGAUUGACGCUGAGGCACGAAAGCGUGGGUAGCGAAC
rnacentral:rRNA from 1 species